rnacentral:rRNA from 1 species
AAAACAUGUCCUUUUGUUUAAAUAAAAGGUCUAACCUGCCCAAUGAUUAAAUUUAAUGGCCGCGGUAUUUUAACUGUGCUAAGGUAGCAUAAUCAUUUGUCUUUUAAUUAAAGGCUAGAAUGAAUGGUUGGACGAGGUAUGAACUUUCUUUAAUUUAAUUGUUGAAUUUAAUUUUUUAGUUAAAAAGCUAAAAUAUAUUUGAGGGACGAGAAGACCCUAUAGAUCUUUAUAUACUUGUAUAUUACAUGUUAUGGUAAAUAAAUAAAUAUAAUAUAUAAAUAUAUUAUGCUGGGGUGACAGUAGAAUUAGUAGAACUUCUAUUUUUUGGUUUUCAUUAAUUAAUGUUUAUAUGAUCCAGUAAUAUUGAUUAUAAGAUUAAGUUACCUUAGGGAUAACAGCGUAAUUUCUUUGAAGAGUUCUUAUCAAUAAAGAAGUUUGCGACCUCGAUGUUGGAUUAAAAUAAGUGGUAGGUGUAGAAGUUUACUAACUAGGUCUGUUCGACCUUUAAUUUUUUACAUGAUCUGAGU